CACUAGCCUCAGUGCCUCUCUCCACAACACCACUAGGCUAGUGGUGUUGUGGAGAGAGGCACUGAGGCUAGUGGU
rnacentral:miRNA from 1 species